UUCGCUGCAGUGUGUCUGAAGUGUCCCGCUGGAAGGUGAUAUCAUGCGAGUCAGUAGCUCAACUCCAACUUCUUUAUUUUUCUAAAUACGAAGCCGACACUUUCACACCUGAUCAAUAACAAACGGGGCUGCCGUGCGCCGGGGAAGGCUCGCCCGGUUACCGGCAGCGGGAGAAUAAUGCACUUGACGCUACUUUGCGCUUUCUUUCGUCAAUGCCAAUUUCUUGUUCGAGCGCAAAAUCAUUGUGCCUCAAAAACAACUGAGUGAUUUUGUGAUUUUCUUGCGCACACUUUGUAAGAGGGGAGAGCGAGGGGAGCGAGAGGCGACGAGUUUCGAAUGGAUUACCAUUGGCACGUCGACUUUACGCACGGCGCGUUUGGUAUUGGGUGUGUGGCGGCACCCCGGAUUGGUCGACUGAAGAAAUAAUGACCUUAUUAUGGGAAGCAGUUUCAAAUCCGCGGCGUUAGACAAAGACUGCUGGCUCCGUGCUGAGACACACCUCCACCCCCCCCCCCCCCCCUCUCAGCCAGCUGUGUAUGUGAUGAUUGAUUUGCAAGAAGCAGCCAUUGAUUUUGCACUAUAAAUACUAUAAAUACAAGCAUAACUGCACUUAUGUUUAUACGUAAAUAUAUGAGUACCAUACAUAUUUAUACAUAAAAAUCUACACACACAGAGACGGUCUCACACUGCAGGAAUAAAAGGGGAUAUUAGGUUUUUUUUAUUUGACAAGACAAAUCACCUGUAAUAGUUUUUCGCAAACCAGUCAAUAGGCACAGUGGCUAACCGAAUAUCGAUUUGAUAUAAUCUAAUAUAGAUCUAAUGAAGGCUGAGUUAUGUGAAUAUGAGCUCUGCCAGCUCCUCCCAGUAGAUUCUUCUGUCUGCAGCCACAUUAUCACCGGGUUCAGUGCUUUGUUUGUAUUGCAUUACGAGGUAUAACUGCUACGGUGGAUCAGCUGCCACGGCUGAUUCUGCUGCCGUAUAGAAGAAUAAACACACGCGUGUAUAUCGCCCAAUUA